rnacentral:lncRNA from 1 species
UGGGGGAACGGACAUCCAGCCACCACGUCUCCAUCUUUCUGCCCGGCAACAACCGAAGGUGCAGGUGGGUUGGGGUUGGAGUCCGACAGGACGUUUCAGAUAUUGAGACGGACAGACGGUCAAGUUUUUGAGAAGCGGAAACAGUUAGCAAUGUGAUACGAGGAGGAAUGUGGAGCGAGAUGGAAGUGCGGCGGAGGAUGACAGAUGCUUGGUAAUGCGAUGAUUUGGUGAACAGAGAACCUGGGCUUGGCGAUGUCUCACCCUGGAGGUGGGCUGUGCCUUUUAGUCACCACUGGUCCACUGUUGUCGCCGAUCGUGAUGAAGACGAGUGGAGGAGUCCAUUGCCGUCGCCGGUAGCCGUCUGACGAUUGUUGAUCUCGCCUGAGAACCAUAAGCUUCUAAUCUUUCUGUCUCCGGUGGGAUAAGGACAAGAUGAUGGGUUAAUGUGUCAAUUUAAGACAGAUUAAUAACCUGACAUUGGUACGAUGCUUAAAAAGACACAGGAGGCAUUACAACUUUAACUUGGGUAUAGCCAUAUAGUUCUUGGCUCAUAGCGGCUAGAGAGAGAGAAAGAGCAGAAAGUUCCCGUCGCCGACGUUAUGUUGGUCCGUAGGCUAGAGAGCCACCGUCACCGGCGGUGUUUGUCAGUCCAAGGGUUCCUAUGGCGUUCUCUAGUGGCAUAGCAACUGGAUUUUAGGGCACCGUUCGUCGGAGCUCAAGAUCAUCGCAUGCCUUCUGGAUUUUGGGGGUUUUCACUGUGGCCAGAAUGGUUGGUUGUUGCCGGCGUCGUUCAAGGGCACUUAUGGUGUCGAUGAUGGCUAGGGUUUCCUAUGCUGAGACUCUAACCGACUUUAAUGGGUGGUGAUUGCUUUUAUCUAUGAUUAUCAAUGACUAUGGGUGUCUUCAUCUGAGAUGUUCUUGAUUUGAAUUUUGAAACCGUAAUGAUGAUUGCGCGGGUGUAAACCGAGAUGAGGAUUUAACCAUGGCGUGGCGUGGCAUGUUUGAGAGAUGGUAGAUAUUCAUUUGUAACCUCCAAUGCAGCCACAAUUAUCUCCUUCGUUUACACCCUCUGAGUCUAUCCAUUGGGCUGUAUUGAUGGUUGUACCCAUUGCUUAAAGUUUUGUUUAUGGACCACUUGACUCUUUAAUUGAAGAGAGCUUAUGUUCUUCUGGUAAUGAUGGUGUUGAGUGGUUAUGGACUAAGCACGGCGUCAGAGAGGGUUUUCGGCCGAGUUGAACUUCCGGCGACCAAACCUAGGGUUCCGGCAAAGUUCCGAUGAACCUCCACCAACCGGCGAACUUCCACUUCUUCGCGAACGGAAUGCAUCUGGUGAUUUGGGCUACCGAGCGCUUUCUACGGUCGCGGGCGGUGGGGUGACCUUUGGCCAUUGGGUUAACCAGAUGUAUAUGAAGGGGUAUGUCUUGAUGGUUUAUAGUGAUUACUUGAAGAAAAUGGUCGAGUAACACUCUGCCUUUACAGUCUGUUGUGUUUCAUCGGAGCAACAAAUCGUAGUACCCGCCGCAACGCCGCGGGGUGCUAUUUCUAGUUUGAUUAAAUUAAAGUAUGUAUAAAGAAAAGAAGAAUAUUCCACCCAAGUUGCAAUGGGUUAUUCUUAGAAGUCUCGAAAUAAUAUAUAACCUUUCUUU